rnacentral:rRNA from 1 species
GGGGGUAUGACCCCCCCUAACGAACAACGUUUUUGUUAAAAAAAAAAAAAAGUGAAAACCACCCCCCCCCCCGGCGGGGUUGAUAGAUAUAAGUGUUUCGCGCUUCCCAGAGCGAUAUAGAGCACGAGCCGUGCCCAGACCGAUAGCGAACAAGUAGAGUGAUCGUUUUAAGAGAAGCACUUUUUAAAGAGAGUUAAGCAGCACGUGAAAUUGUUUAAAGGGAAGCGCUUGCAACCAUUCUGGCUGGUGUGUUUCAGCGGGGCUUGGGCCCGGUGUACUUGGUCUGGGCGGGCCAGAUUGGGUUUGGGCGGCCGGUCAAAGGCUUAUGGCCUGUAGCGCCCUUCGGGGCGCCUUAUAAACCAAGGUACUGUGCCACCUGCCGGUCUUGGAACGCGUU